UACGGGGGGGGCAAGCGUUGUUCGGAAUUACUGGGCGUAAAGGGUGCGUAGGCGGCUUUCUAAGUCGGAUGUGAAAACUCUGGGCUCAACCCAGAGCCUGCAUCCGAAACUGGCGGGCUAGAGUUCUGGAGGGGGUAGCGGAAUUCCUGGUGUAGCGGUGAAAUGCGUAGAUAUCAGGAGGAACACCGGUGGCGAAGGCGGCUACCUGGACAGAAACUGACGCUGAGGCGCGAAAGCUAGGGGAGCAAACAGG
rnacentral:rRNA from 1 species